rnacentral:rRNA from 1 species
GAUUGAAGCUUGCUUUGAACUGUUUUAGUGGCGGACGGGUGAGUAACGCGUGAGGAACCUGCCUUUCAGAGGGGGAUAACGUCUGGAAACGGACGCUAAUACCGCAUGACAUUUUGUUGCCGCAUGGUGAUAAAAUCAAAGGAGCAAUCCGCUGAGAGAUGGACUCGCGUCCGAUUAGCCGGUUGGCGGGGUAACGGCCCACCAAAGCAACGAUCGGUAGCCGGGCUGAGAGGCUGAACGGCCACAUUGGGACUGAGACACGGCCCAGACUCCUACGGGAGGCAGCAGUGGGGGAUAUUGCACAAUGGAGGAAACUCUGAUGCAGCAACGCCGCGUGAGGGAAGAAGGUUUUCGGAUUGUAAACCUCUGUCCUCAGGGACGAUAAUGACGGUACCUGAGGAGGAAGCUCCGGCUAACUACGUGCCAGCAGCCGCGGUAAUACGUAGGGAGCAAGCGUUGUCCGGAUUUACUGGGUGUAAAGGGUGCGUAGGCGGCACUGCAAGUCAGGUGUGAAAACCAUGGGCUUAACUUAUGGAUUGCACUUGAAACUGUGGUGCUUGAGUGAAGUAGAGGCAGGCGGAAUUCCCGGUGUAGCGGUGAAAUGCGUAGAGAUCGGGAGGAACACCAGUGGCGAAGGCGGCCUGCUGGGCUUUAACUGACGCUGAGGCACGAAAGCAUGGGUAGCAAACAGGAUUAGAUACCCUGGUAGUCCAUGCCGUAAACGAUGAUUACUAGGUGU